UACUUGCAAAAUGGGUACACUUACCUAGGCUGGCUGGCUCAGUGUUGGUAACAGUGUGUCUCCACGGCACUAAAGUUUCACUUAUUUAAAGCAAAUUUGGGGCAGUGGCAAAAACUGACAGCUGGUGAAGUAACUAUAGCAGAAAGGUGCAUUUAGAGAGUAGCUUCAUCACAACAUCACAAACCUUUCAACCUGCAGUAGUGCUGAGGGAGACCUGACAGAGGAGGUCUUAUGCUUUGAUGAGGGCUUCUGGGAUGAGACAAAUUAAGGUUCAUGCUAUUUAGCUCAGCUACAACAUCACAGUGGAUUCAUACUUCAUUCUUCACGCUUAUCAUCAGCCUCAGGGUUGUACUUUACACUAAAGGUCCCAUCAGCUGAAUGAUGAAAUAAGAUGCUCAGGCAUGAAAGUAGAUGACAGAUUUAGUGACAUACAAGAAAUUGCCGACAGAUGUGACUUUUGGAUGCAUGAGGUGAGAUAUUUCCUUUUGAGAUCAAGAUAGCUCCACUACCAGAAAUGGAAUUACUACUCUUCACAGUCACUAAGAGAUGAAGAACAUAAGGAACAGCCAUGAGCAAGAUAAACUGCACAGUAACAGUUCUAACUGUUCAAUUUAUUUUUUUAUUUUUUUCCGUGUCAGGAAGAUUUACAUUUUUUAAGACUUUCUGUGGGAUUUAUACAUGUCUACAGUGUCUGGAACUGAAUCUGACUGAGGUCAUCACCUUAGGUUACUUUUAUAGCCCGUAGAGGAAAGUAGCCACUUUGAGUAGGAAACUGAUUUGCUUAGAUCUGUAUUUAGAAUGAGUUGAAUCCCACAGAGAGGAAUGGAGAGACCUUGACCACCAGUCUAGUAACUUACCUGGAAAAUGUCUCUCCUGGUCCUAACAUCCUUUUCACCUGAUUGAGGCAUGAAUGGCCUUGGGUAAACCACAUCCCAAAUUGGUGUUCUAAACAUUCUGCUAAUGUUUCUUUUAGAGAAACCGUUCUUGUUUCCAUGAUCAGGACUGUGGUCACCUUGGUGCAGGGCAGGCAAAGAUGAGGGCAGCUGGUUCUUACUGAGUUUUUCCUGGCUUCUAAGAGUCCCAUGGACUGGUCUGCACAUAGGACUCAGUGGAGCACAGCAUAAAUCCCUGGCUACAUUUUAAACACGUUUUUAUAGUGCCUGUCUCCCAGCCUUCUUCCUGCUCAUCUGCAGUGAACAUCAGCUUCAAAUGUAGUAAGGAUCCUUUCAGCAAUUAAACAUCCACGGGCUCUUAGUCACAUGGCUCAUUCAGGACCUUCUUAUCUGAUUAAACCUCAAAGGUAAAACUGCCACAGAAACUGGUAUGAAUUUGAAUUACAAUAAGAAUAUUAGCUUUGGCUUUCAGUUGAACUCUCCUAGCAGCUCAAACUUGAUUAUUUUGUGGUAGCCCUUUUUCAUAAUAUUUUAAAAUUUGUUAUGGCACAUCAUCAUUGCAUAAAUGUGCAAAAAUUAAGAAUAAAGAAAGUAACAAUCCUCAAACAUUGUUAUUAAUACUGAAAUUAACUGAAAAUACACUCCAGUGAAACAUGACCUCUGUAAACAACCUGUCCUAAAACGGUUGUCCUACAGAGGGUUUUGUGUGUGUUGAAUUCGGUACUUUAUCUUGUGGAAUUCAGCGUUUAUCUCUGGUAUGUAAAGCUUCAAAUCUAAUAUGCGUGUACAUUCUGUAUGAUGAAGCAGGAGGAGGGAAAGCACCUGUAGAAACUCUAGAGAGAGAAAAGUCAAUAUUUUGUUUUCAAUUCAGUGUGCAAGUGACGCAGAAUUUAACCCAGACUUUAAAGCAAUGGAAAAAAAAAAAAAGUGUGAGUGUCAUACUCACUGUGAUUUUUAGAUAAAGUAAUCCUAAAGCAUUUCUCAAAAGUAUAGAUUAAAUGCUCAUUACGUAAAUGUACUUCCUCAUCAGUCUGUUGUUUGUUCAUUUAGAUAAAGUGGUACACCGUUUCCUUGUCAAACCACUGCUGAUCACAAAUAAAUAAUUCAACACUGAGAUACAGUUGUCCACAACGAAUGAAAAAGGGAAACAAAUUGGAAAGGAAUAUCAAUAAAUUGACAAUAUUAAGUUUCAAUCAACUUUCUCUGAUUGCAUAAUUAAAGCUUGUAGUUUGUGUAAGAGGAAGGGAAAGGUCAACAGUUCUGAAGCAUAUUCACAUUUGAUUUGCUACAGUUGCACAUAAAACCUUCAAAUUUAACCAAAAAGUGCCCCAGAAUAACAGAAAAUACUGUCUCUGUGACCUCAUAAUAUUAGUAUUAUUGUUGGUUUCAACAAUAAGCAACGGAGGCACUUAGCUUGUAUAUUUAUGAAGCAUUUACAUUGAAACAUUGCAAAGAAAAGAAAUAAUAUUAUUGUCUGUUGUGUUGCAUCUAUUUUGUUUGGAAUUGCAUCUCAGGGAUGCAAUAAGAGCAACUUUUAUAAGAGCAACUUUUGAGAAAGAGAAUAGAAUCCCUGUAAUAGCCACUUGUAGAAAAUCCUGACCAAAGGGCAAUUUUUUAUCCAAUCUUUGUUCUAAUAUUGAUUAAAUCAGUCAAUGGAGAAAAAAACAGACAAACGAGCAAACAAAACUAUAUCUAUUCUGUUUAUUUGGUUUGGAGGUGUUUUGGUUAUUCAAAUACAUUCCUUCAUCUUUUUGUCUGUAUUUAAAAGGUAAAAGUCUCUUUGCAUUGUUAUUACAAGAUGUUUUUCUUAAUCCGAAACCAUGUGUAACCUUUGAGAAAAUGGGCAAGCAUGGUUUUAGUUUUACACUGCUGGCUAUUCUACAGAAGCUGUUGCUAAUGGAUAGUCACCUUGUUCCUUGCCUUCCUAUCUCUCACGGAAGUAUUUUCUCGAAACAAGACACUGAUGUUUCAGCAGAGAUUUUUGAAAAAGAAAUGGAAAAGGCUUUGUGAUGUUUGUGACAUCUUUGUUCAAAACCUGUUUUUUUGUUGUUUUUGUUCUUAUUUUUUGUUUUGCUUUAAGUUGGUUGGGUGUUUGUUGUUUUGGGUAUUUUUGUGUGUGUUUGUUUUUUUUUUUUUUUUUUUAAUUAGAUUAACAGGAUAAAUUUGGGAUUAUUUUUUGGUGAGGCUACAGAGUAACUCAGAAGCUGAUGCAGACUUUUCCAACUGUUUUCUUUACCAUAUUUCCAUAAUACAGAAAAUAAAAGCCACAAAUAAACACUACAAACAAAGAA